GAUGAACGCUGGCGGCGUGCUUAACACAUGCAAGUCGAACGGAAAGGCCCUGCUUUUGUGGGGUGCUCGAGUGGCGAACGGGUGAGUAAAACGUGAGUAACCUGCCCUUGUCUUUGGGAUAACUUCAGGAAACUGGGGCUAAUACCGGAUAGGAGCUCCUGCUGCAUGGUGGGGGUUGGAAAGUUUCGGCGGUUGGGGAUGGAUUCGCGGCUUAUGAGCUUGUUGGUGGGGUAGUGGCUUACCAAGGCUGUGACGGGUAGCCGGCCUGGGAGGGUGACCGGCCACAUUGGGACUGAGAGACGGCCCAGACUCCUACGGGAGGCAGCGGUGGGGAAUAUUGCACAAUGAGCGGAAGCCUGAUGCGGCAACGCCGCGUGCGGGAUGACGGCCUUCGGGUUGUAAACCGCUUUCGCCUGUGACGAAGCGGGAGUGACGGUAAUGGGUAAAGAAGCACCGGCUAACUACGUG
rnacentral:rRNA from 1 species